CGCUGCGGCCUUUCCCCAUCCCGGACCCGGCACUUCUCGGGUUCUGCGACUGCCGCUCGCCCCGGCGCGGCACCGCUCCCUCAAGAGUCGCCUAGGCCGCGCAGUCUCCCGACUUCUCGUCAGGCUUUCGCGCCGGCGCUCCAGCAAUCACUGGCUGGAGAAGGUGGGCGUUCCGGCUCGGGAGGACCCUGCCGCGGCCCCGGAAGAGCCUCGUCCUGGGCGGCGGUGGUGCGGCGGUCGCCGUUAUGGCCACCGGGCUGGGAGGCUGACCGCCGGGCUAGGAGAGGGCCCAGGGCCCCGAAUCUCGGUGGCCGCUGCUCGAGCGCGGCCUGCACCAUGGCCUCCUCCGCCGCCUCCUCGGAGCAUUUCGAGAAGCUGCACGAGAUCUUCCGCGGCCUCCAUGAAGACCUACAAGGGGUGCCCGAGCGGCUGCUGGGGACGGCGGGGACCGAAGAGAAGAAGAAAUUGAUCAGGGAUUUUGAUGAAAAGCAACAGGAAGCAAAUGAAACGCUGGCAGAGAUGGAGGAGGAGCUACGUUAUGCACCCCUGUCUUUCCGAAACCCCAUGAUGUCUAAGCUUCGAAGCUACCGGAAGGACCUUGCUAAACUCCAUCGGGAGGUGAGAAGCACACCUUUGACAGCCACACCUGGAGGCCGAGGAGACAUGAAAUAUGGCAUAUAUGCUGUAGAGAAUGAGCAUAUGAAUCGGCUACAGUCUCAAAGGGCAAUGCUUCUGCAAGGCACUGAAAGCCUGAACCGGGCCACCCAAAGUAUUGAACGUUCUCAUCGGAUUGCCACAGAGACUGACCAGAUUGGCUCAGAAAUCAUAGAAGAGCUGGGGGAACAACGAGACCAGUUAGAACGUACCAAGAGUAGACUGGUAAACACAAGUGAAAGCUUGAGCAAAAGUCGAAAGAUUCUCCGUUCAGUGUCCAGAAAAGUGACAACCAACAAGCUGCUGCUUUCCAUUAUCAUCUUACUGGAGCUCGCCAUCCUGGGAGGCCUGGUUUACUACAAAUUCUUUCGCAGCCAUUGAACUUCUAUAGGGAAGGGUUUGUGGACCAGAACUUUGACCUUGUGAAUGCAUGAUGUUAGGGAUGUGGAUAGAAUAAGCUUAUUGCUGCUGUGGGCUAACAGUUCAGGGAUGCACUGUAUAGCCAGACUGUGGGAGGAGGGAGGAAAGAUGGAAAACCACUUAAAUGUGAAGGAACAGCAACAAGACCAGUAUGAUAUACCAAGGUAAUAAAUGCUGUUUAUGACUUCUUUAAAUUUACAUAGUACUGUAGCAUAUUAAUACCCUGUGAACUGCAAAAAACCAAAUACAUUUACAGUAGUAUUGGUCACCAAAAUAGAGGGGAAACUUUACAAUUGUGAGAAUGUGUAAAUGUUCUCAUUAAGGCAGUAUUGACCCAGACAACCAUUUAGUAUCCAUGUAUCCCCUCAAUGCCUCAUAAUUCUGGAAUGCCCAUUGUGAAACAUGUCAGUGCACAGUGUCUCCUAAAUUCUCACAUGUGCUUGAUUUCCUGAUUCAUCUGGUGAACUGGGAGUAGGAAGCUGGUCAUAGACAAUAUGCCCUCCUUCUCUUGUCUGACCAAAACUUGAAGCAAUUACAUCCACUGCCAGGUUAGCUGUAGUCUUCGCCUCUUCCUCUGAGGUGGCCAACUGAGGAUUGACUUCAACAAGAUCCAGUGCCGAUAGCAACCCUGGAAGAACAAAGUGUGACAAAACCUCAGAUUCCCUUGCUGCUCCUCUCAGUGAGGGUCAUCCCACUGGGACAGGGAGAACAAGCCAAGCCCCAGUGUCCAAAGGCUGAAGCUAACAACUAAGUUUCUUAACAGCUUACGAAAUGACGUACUACCAGAUAACAAUUCUGACAUUAAUCACCCAGAAGUAAAGACUUGGUAUUGGGAAAAUGCUCUUAAAACUACCAUUUGAUUAGUAUUCAUCUGCCAUCUUUCUACACUGCCAAGAUUUGCUUAACAUAAAACUCAGAUGAAACAAUCGUGAGCCUGGGAAGAAUGGGACAGUUGAAACAAUAAAUCCUUGUCAUCUCAGAAGAUAAGCAUUAAAGAUGGAGAUAAAGAAAAAUUCAUGAGACAGAAGAUCUAGGCAAUGAUUUAGAGGAAACCUCCUCCCAAAAACCCAGAGGAAGAAUAUGACCUGUGUUUCAUAUUUUGCCUUUCUGAACUAUUUAAAAUUAUGUGUAUGUUUUUGCUUUGUAUUUUAAAAGUAAAGCUGCUGUCCUCAA